rnacentral:lncRNA from 1 species
CGCCGAGCAGAAGGACGAGAUGGUUCCGCGGCUGGUGAAGCUCUUCGACUUCCCGGGGCGCGGCGCCGCCCAGAUCUACGCGGGAUACACCUGCUCCUUCGCCGUCAGCGAGACCGGCGGGUUGUUCUUCUGGGGCGCCACCAACACGUCCCGGGAGUCCACCAUGUACCCCAAGGCGGUGCAGGACCUGUGCGGGUGGAGGAUCCGCAGCCUGGCCUGCGGGUGAGUGCGGCUCCGGGAAUUCCGGCCCGGGACGGGGGAGCCGGAGCCGCGGGACCAGGGAUGGCCUCCCUUGCAGGAAGAGCUCCGUCAUCGUGGCGGCCGACGAGAGCACCAUCAGCUGGGGGCCCUCGCCCACCUUCGGGGAGCUGGUACGCCCCGAAAACCCCAAAGGAAACCCCAGAAACUCCAAAGGAAACCCCAGAAACUCCAAAGGAACCCCAAAAACCCCAAAGGAAUACCAAAAACCCAAAGGAAACCCCAGAAACCCCAAAGGAAUCCCAGAAACCCCAAAGGAACCCUAAAAACCUCAAAGGAACCCCAA